ACUCACUGAAACAGGAGGCUUCAAAAAGAAGGAGAGACAGGCAGAACACUUUCAGGUUCAUAUCCCGAUCCACGGCCGUUAGUAGCAGGUAAAUCUUAGUGCCUGAAUCACACCAGAUGAACUUCGACUGUCCUCUGCUCUGUGGUUUGUCGGGGAAGCCGUCCGAGCAGAUCAACUGCAGAGAUCCGAUCCCGAUCACACCUGAUGAACUUUGAGAUGUCAGUCCACAUAUCUCCACUCCAGUAUUUAUUUAGCAUGCAGGGUGUCGCCUCUGCUGCAAUGCGGUUGAGCGAGUUUUAAAUCAAAAACACCUUGUUAACCAUGUAAACAGUGUCAGCAGUUUUGGAAUUAUGAUUCAUGUGAUGUUAUUAUUUUUUUUUUUUUUGUCAGAAAAACUAAAGGUGGUUUAUUUUACUUAGGAAGGCAUCCGGACGUGGACGUAGCCUACUCGCAAGUGUUGCUGUUAAAUAGUUAUUCUUUCUCGCUGUAAUUGUUGCUGUCUUUUAACACUUUUUGUCUUACUUUUUAUUUCUUUUUAAAUAAAAGUAGUUCAUAUGUAUGCAGUUAUGUUGCUAACUAGGCUAUAUCUUGUUCAUAUCAUUAACUCUCGAUGUAUAUACUAGCCUACGUCUUAAAAUGAACAUCACUGCUUUAAUUCA